rnacentral:tRNA from 1 species
AAGGUUAUAGUUUAUAGAAAACAUAUUGUUUACACCAAUAUAAAUCACGUUUGAUGGCCUUA